UCACAGCACAGCUCAGCCUGCAGGAACAUCCGCUUACCUGUGAGACCUCACAGGAAUAACCAGAGCACUGCAAGCAAGAAGUAAUAAUUUCCACAUAGGAUGCCAUGACAGAAGUACAUGCUUAACACUCGGGAAGUGCUCCAAGCUGGCUGAUCAGAAUAGGCUAAGAAAGAGAUUCCAAGAAAAUCAGUCAUCAGCAGAGGAAGAUGCCCACAAAAGUACUUCUUGGCAUCUUAACUAAAGCAGAAAGGGCUGCCUGACAGGUUAGCAAUGCAGCCCUAAGAGAACUACAGCCUGGCCAAGCCCACAGCCCAGGAGACCAAGGGCAGUCCAACAGCGGAGCUUUUUUCACUCUGCAAUGUGGGCCACUCUGUAUGUGCAGCACCAAGCUGGGGAGAGCUCUGCAAACUACAAUGGGAUACAUAACUGAAACUGCCCCAAAACUGCUGAAUAGGGAAAUGCCAUCCCAACCAUUCAGAAAAAAACAAAAAGAAAAAAAGAAAAAAAAAAAAAUGCAAAGAGACAUUGGAAGCACUUUCGAAGUAGCACAGUCCCUGAGUCAGCCAGUCCAGAAAGGUCUUUGAGAUCUAAUUAUAGUCUUCAAUCAAUGCUGCUCUUAUCCAUGCUGCUAAUGAACAUAUAUGAGGCAAGCAGUUCUGCAGCUCCAGGGUUUCUCGCAGUGGCAAUAACAGCUUAGUAAUAACUAGCAAUCUUUCUUGAUGAGGUCUCGCUUUGCCUUCUCUGAGUUUCCCAGCCUUGGUGCAUGCCCUCAGGAGGUUUGCGAGCUGUAGUGAGCUGUUCAUGAUGGCACAACCAAGCCAAAACACUGGGGAGGCUCUGGAACAAUCACGUCAUUCUGUUAAUAGCACAGAGAGAAAGAUAAAAAGGGCUGAAAAAUGCCAGAGAGUUUGGAGCAUCCCUAGGACCAGAGGGGAACUUCUGUGCUGGAGUCUGAUCUGGGAACCAGCUUGGAGCUCACUCCUGCUGUGCAAGCACACACCUCUCAAAAGACAUCCUGGAAGCAUCUGGACUCAAUUUUCGCAUGGCUGGUGACAUUUCUUCUCUGCACUGCCUGGAGAAAGCUGCUUGGAUGAUUAUUCAUCCCCGCAAUUCAGUAACUGCACCAGUCUGGAGCGGUCUAAUCUCCUGGGGCUGUAGUUACUGCCUGGUUUGCUCAGCAGCAGAACUGCCCUGCACUGAACAGCCAAUUGCCUGUGAAGUGAUCACUCCCUCCCAUCAAUGGAAAACUUUGAGUUCUGGGAAUCUCCCCAGGCCUCAGAUUUUCAAGUCUUUUUUGUUAUUAUCGUUUUCUUCGGGUCUGUAUGGCAUCUGGAAAUUCUCCUUGCUCACAGUUCACCUAUUCUCCUUGCUGGGUCAUUUGCCAUUUAAAAAAUCUAGCUGCCAAUUAAGGUUCUAUUGGGUUCAAUUGCUCUCAUUGCCCAGUGUGUGCAAGAUGCAGUAAGUUGCAUUUACUUUGUUAUCUGUAACAUCCAUACCCAAACUUAGAAUCAUAGAAUCCUCAUAGAAUCACCAAGGUUGGAAAAGAACUGUAAGAUCAUCUAGUCCAGUUAUCCACUUACCACCAAUACUGCCCUCUAAACCAUGACCCUCAGUGCCCCACGUUUCCUGAACGCCUCCAGAGACAGUGACUCCACCACAUUCCUGGGCAGCCUGUGCCAAUUCAUCACCACUCCUGAAAAUAUUAAUUUCCCUAAUAACUGACCUGAAACUCCCCUGGCACAACUUGAGACCAUUAUCUCUCAUCUGAUCCUAUUGCUCUUCCCACAAGUGCAAGAUCAGGAUAAACUCAAAAUCAAAACUCAUUUGAGUGGAAGAUCAGUGAUGCCUGUAAAGCUUAAAUUCUUCUUCCUUCUUCAUUUUAUUAAGGAAACAGAGGCAACCCACUAUUGGAAUUUGCAAAGGGAGAAGCAGCCAAGCACGAAUGCAAACUGGAGAGCUGAAAAGCAAUUGCAGACAAGCUGGCUUAUGACUUCCGGUGCAUUUCAGAAGAAAAGAGCCUCUUCUUUUUUUUUGGCUGCAGUGAGAACUGGGUGGAAUAUUCCUUAGAAUAAGCUAGACAGAACUGGCUUGCAAGUCUCUGCUUUCAGGUUAUCCAUCCAGACUGAGUGUCAGAAAUGCAAAUCUCCCGAGGGUGGAGCUGCAGGGUCCUGCCAGUGGCUUGCUUUUUCCAGAUACUGGUAGAGACCUCAUUUUAAUAAUUAGGAAGGAUCAGGUAAAGUGCCUGCCAUUGCUGAUGCAAGAAAAGAUGAGUAACUGCGUAUGCUGUAUCUUUGUGUCCCCAUUUUGGCAAAUGGAUCACUGAGAUAGGCAAGCCCAGGAGUCAGAAGAUCAGCUGGGUUGAGCUGCAGUCCAUUCCCAGCCCCACAAAAAGCAUAGCUUGAGAGCUAGUUUAAGGUUGCUCAGAGGAUCAGCAUCUUUUGUAGUGUGACCAUGCAUUUGCAAUGGUAUAGCUUUAAUGUUAAGCACGAUCUUACACAGAGUAUUUAGCUCCCCUUAGAGUGUGUCCAGCACGGGCACUGAAGCUGUGAAAGGUCUGAAGCACAAGUCUGGUGGGGAGCAGCUGAGGGAAUGGGGAUAGUUCAGUCUGGAGAAGAGUUUCAGGGGAGAUCUUAUGACAACUGCCUGAAAGGAGGCUGUGGUGAGGCGGUGCCUCUUCUCCCUGGUAACAGUGAUAGGACAAGCAGGAAGGGCCUCAAGUUGCACCAGGGGAGUUUCAUGUUGGGUAUUAGGAAACAUAUAUUCUUGGAGGAUAGAAGUGUACUGGGACAGGCUGCCCAGGGAUGUGGUGGAGUCCCUGGAAUUGUUCAGGAAAAGAGUGGAUGUGGCAUUGAGGGACAUGGUUAGUGGGCAUGGUGGUGAUGGGUUGAUACUGGGCUGGAUGAUCUUAGAGGUCUUUUGCAACCUUAAUGAUUCUACGAUUCUAUUUUAUCAUUCCCUGAGGUUACUUGGAGCUGUGGCUUCCCACAUCCCUUUUUUUUUUUUUUUUUUUUUUUUCUUUUUGGCUUGGAAGAGAGAUUAUAUGGUCAUUUGGAGAUAAGUUAAUGUAGUCAGAAUUCGGCCACCUGCAGUCCGCACCCACAGGCCUGUCUGCCAAGCGAUCUUUAUGAGAAGACCUGUUUUGCAAAUUUUGGCUCAUAUUUCUGCAAGAGCAGGGGUACCCCACCUGAUUCAUUGUGCCUAAUGAGACAUGUCCAGCUGGAGAGCAGUACAGCAGCAGGACAAACAGAUGCAUCCUUCAGCAUUACAGUGGCUCAGACAAGGCCCUCAGGGGUCUCCUCUCCUUGCUAACACACACUGCUCUGACUUCAGAGGGCCAUAACACUGCUUUCCCUCCCAGCUUCUCUAAUGUAACCCUGAGUUGCCAGCUGGAGCCACCUCAUAGUGUCCAGACCCAAAGUCAGCCUUGGGUUGUGGGGGUCCGAAGUGGUCUCAGAGGGGCUUUCAGGUCGUGUAUCCAUGUGAAGUGGGGUGAGUGGGUAAGCACUAAAUCCAGUUUGGUGCAUAAAAUUAACAAUAAAAGCUUUGUGUACUGACCAAGAAAUAGUUUCUCAAUGUUAGAAUAGAACAAGAUACCUAUUAGUAGAAAUAACACUCAUAAAACUGCUUGUCUGAACAAAAACUGUGUUUCCUUUCAGUAACACCAGAACUUAAAAAAGAAAAAUGACUAAAACACUCAGUCAUCCUGGUGCUAACCCCCACCAAGUGCAUCCCUGCUGUCUUUGUGGCUCACUGUUUACCAGGCUGUUAGUGCAGGGCUUUUAGAAGCGCUGAAAGAUUUGUGUGUAGAUUCAUUGGUUGUCUAAGAAAUCGUGUUAACUUAGUUAGUACGGGUCUGCUGAAAUUUCCUGCUUGGCUGUAAAACACUCAAGUGAUCAUUGUUUUGGGCUCUGAUGUGAAGUUCUCGCGCAAAGGCUGCCUUGGGGGUGAGAUAAGUUCAAUAGAUUUACUGAUUUUAGUUUGCCUGCUAUUUUGAUUUGAACUGCUUGGAGAUGGCUUCUCAGAGGAAGUAGUGCUGGGCUGUGAUGGUCCUCAGCCCCAAAGGGAGACCUGUUUCGCUUUUGUCUAUCACUUGCCUCAGUGACCAAGUGUGCUGCUGAGCAAGGGGUGAGGUGCCACACAUCAUCUUUGUCACCACAUCACCUACAGAUAAACAGAAUCAUAGAAUCAUGGCAGCUGGAAAAGACCACUAAGAUCUUCUGGUCCAACCAUCAGUCCAUCACUGCCUGAAACCUGGCUCACCACACUAUCAAGGUUGAAUUCAGCUCAGUAGAUGGAUGGCUCUCCAUAGAUGAACCACACUGUGUCUCUGCUGGUCACCCAGAAGCCAGUUAAUCACAACAAGCAGAAAAAAUGCAGAAGCAGCACCUGCCAGGUAUCCAGGGGAGCAUUUGUGCGAAAGGUGGAUAGCCAUAAAUCCUGAGUGGGGCUGGAGAGGGCUUUUAUAUUUCUUCCUAUAAAACUGCUUGUCUCUGUAGUACUGGAGUGUCACUGCACUGAGUGUCACUGAGGAAUUACACUCCUGCUGGUAAUGCAAAAGUUUUGUUCUGCCAGCGACCAUAAAGAUGGAAGACAAGCACAGCAUUCCAUGAGCUCCCUACUGCUAGAUGUUAAGGGCUGGGAACAAAAUGGGGGCCCAAGGGGAUUGCUGUAAACAUUGGCCUCUAGUUUGUUCAGAUUGACCCCAGCACGUAUCACUGGAAGGUACCUUGUAGAUCAGUUGUCUUCAGCUCAACAGCAGGGAUUUCUUGCAACCAUAUGGUAAAUGAGGCUAUACCCUUUGCUGCACGAUGUCUUGGGAAAUGGCAAAUGCCUUACUGGAUGUGAACAGCUGCUGACUGCCUUGGCCCAAACUGCACAUGUGGUAGAACUUUCAGGCCUGAGAUAUUUUUGCCGUGUGGACAUCUGCCUUGUCCCUUCACAUCUGUAUAUCCUGAAUCUGGUGAGGGCUGGAACAAACAGGUAUUACGAUAAGACUGCAAUGUUGCUAAAAGCUCCUUUGAUUUGUGAGAACCAUGACUUUUCCCAGGAGAACAGUGCCGGCUAGGGACAAGGCACAGAGAUUUGGUGGCAUCUCCAUCCCUGGGGUCAUCAGCAUCUUCAUGGAUGAGGUCUUGUGCAACUUGAACUGUCUGUGAGUAGGAGACACCGGAAGAUCUCUUCGCAUUGGAAUAUGCCCAGGAUUGAUCCAUUAAAUGUCAUGGAAAUGUCAUAUCAUGUCA